rnacentral:rRNA from 1 species
ACAGCAGUCGCCACGGUAACACGGAGGGUGCAAGCGUUAAUCGGAAUUACUGGGCGUAAAGCGCACGCAGGCGGUCUGACAAGUCAGAUGUGAAAUCCCCGGGCUUAACCUGGGAACUGCAUUUGAAACUGUCAGGCUGGAGUCUUGUAGAGGGGGGUGGAAUUCCAGGUGUAGCGGUGAAAUGCGUAGAGAUCUGGAGGAAUACCGGUGGCGAAGGCGGCCCCCUGGACAAAGACUGACGCUCAGGUGCGAAAGCGUGGGGAGCAAACAGGAUUAGAUACCCCGGUAGUCCCUGUCUCUUAUAC